rnacentral:tRNA from 1 species
AUCAGGUUAGUUUAACUAAAACAUUAGGAUGUGGGCCUAAAAAAAAUGUAACAACCCAUUACUUGAUA